AGCUUUAUAGUCAAUUAACAUAUGAUAUUAGACUGCAAUUCUAAAGGAGUAGGAGAUCUUACUAAGGCUU
rnacentral:tRNA from 1 species